UACGUAGGGGGCUAGCGUUGUCCGGAAUCAUUGGGCGUAAAGCGCGCGUAGGCGGCCCGGUAAGUCCGCUGUGAAAGUCGGGGGCUCAACCUCGAAUGCCGGUGGAUACUGUCGGGCUAGAGUGCGGAAGAGGCGAGUGGAAUUCCUGGUGUAGCGGUGAAAUGCGCAGAUAUCAGGAGGAACACCAUUGCGAAGGCAGCUCGUGGGACGUUACUGACGCUGGAGAACGGCGAAAGCGUGGGGAGCAAACACGG
rnacentral:rRNA from 1 species